AUACGGAGGACGCGAGCGUUAUCCGGGUUCAUUGGGUUUAAAGGGUGCGCAGGCGGCCGUGCAAGUCAGCGGUGAAAGCCCGGGGCUCAACCCCGGAAGUGCCGUUGAUACUGCGUGGCUGGAAUGCGGUCGAGGCGAGCGGAACGUGGCGUGUAGCGGUGAAAUGCGUAGAUAUGCCACAGAACGCCGAUAGCGGAGGCAGCUCGCCAGGCCUGCAUUGACGCUCGGGCACGAAAGCGUGGGGAUCGAACAGGAUUAGAUACCCUGGUAGUCCACGCCGUAAACGAUGGGCGCUCGUCGUCGGCGACAGACAGUCGGCGGCCAAGCGAAAGCGAUAAGCGCCCCACCUGGGGAGUACGGUCGCAAGGCUGAAACUCAAAUGAAUUGGCGGGG
rnacentral:rRNA from 1 species